UGGGCAGGCAAUCUUCCACAAAACAGGCCAGGUGGUGAGACUAGUCAGAGAUCCCGAAGCCACUGCACCAUGAGCGUCUCUGCAUUCAGCCCCACCAGAUUCCCAGGCAGCAUCUCUGGACUCCUCCAAGUGGUCUCCCUGCUCAGCCUGCUUCUGCUGCUGUUCAAAGCAGCCCACUUCUACCUGUGCAGACAAUGGCUGCUCAAAGCUUUCCAGCAGUUCCCGUGUGCACCCUCCCACUGGCUUUUAGGGCACAAGAUCCUGCCAGAAGACGAGCUGCAGCAGACGCUGAAAUGGGUAAAGGAAUUCCCAAGUGCCUAUCCUCGCUGGUUCUGGGGGAGUGAAGCUCACCUGAUCAUCUACGACCCUGACUACAUGAAAGUGAUUCUGGGGAGAUCAGAUCCAAAGGUCAUUUCUUUCUACAGAUUCCUGGCACCUUGGAUUGGGUAUGGUUUGCUCCUGUUGAAUGGACCAACAUGGUUCCAGCACAGGCGAAUGUUGACCCCAACCUUCCACUAUGACAUCCUGAAGCCCUAUGUGAAAAUCAUGGCCAACUCUGUUCGAGUGAUGCUGGACAAAUGGGAAAAGCUCAUCAGUCAAGAUGCCUCUAUGGAGAUCUUUCAACCUGUUUCCUUGAUGACACUCGACUCGAUCAUGAAGUGUGCCUUCAGCUACCAGGGCAGUGUCCAGCUGGACCGGAAAUCCCGGCCCUACCUCCAAGCCAUUGAGGAGAUGAACAACAUGUUUUUUUCCCGUGUAAGGAAUAUGUUUCACCAGAAUGACACCAUCUACAGUUUGUCGUCAAAUGGCCAACGCUGCAAACGUGCCACUCAGAUUGCCCAUCACCACACAGACCAAAUAAUAAAGCAGAGGAAGGCUCAGCUGAAGGAUGACAAAGAGUUGGAGAACAUCAGAAAAAAGAGACACUUGGAUUUCCUGGACAUCCUCCUGUUUGCCAAAACAGAAAAUGGGAGCAGCUUAUCAGACGAGGACCUGCGUGCUGAGGUGGACACCUUCAUGUUUGAGGGCCAUGACACCACAGCCAGUGGUAUCUGCUGGACCUUGUAUGCUCUUGCUACACACCCCAGCCAUCAACAGAGGUGCAGGGAAGAGGUCCAGAACCUCCUGGGAGAUAAAGGCUCCAUUACUUGGGAACACCUUGACCAGAUGUCCUAUAUCACCAUGUGCAUCAAGGAGGCCCUGAGGCUCUAUCCACCAGUUCCAUUUGUUGGCAGAGAGCUCAGCAAACCUGUUACCUUCCCUGAUGGAAAAUCUUUACCCAAAGGUAUAACCUUUCCAGGAUCACCUAAGUUCUCCUCAAGGAUAGGGAAGAAUUAGGAAAUUCAUGUGUGGUUCAGCAGUUCUGAAUCUGGCUGGGUCUUUCUUUAUUGUCAAUAAAUGAAUGCUUCUUACUUAUAGAGUACAUUUUUCUUAUGUAGAACAUAAGCCUACAUGAACUAUACAGCUCCUUCUAAUACUGUCUAUUCACAUGGUUACCACCCUACACUACUCCUGUUCUUCAGCUGACAUUCGUUCUUCUUUAGAAUGCACAGUCUUGCAAUGUUGCAGUUAAUUGCAGUUUGGUGAUAGUGACAUUCUUUGAUUCUAACACUCUAGGCUCCAAUUCUAGAUGACAUGUAUGACCAUAUUUGUCCCUUUGAUUGCCAGGAAUCUCAAAGGGUAGAUUUUUCUCACAUCUUUUUUACAUCUUCUAUAUUUGAUAUAAUAUAUUGCAUAAUUGAGUAAAAAACUAUAUGUAUUAAUAAAUGUAAUGCGAUUUAUCCUGUGGGAAUUUCCCCACAGAGAAAUAUUAACUUUUAGAUUUUGGCCUCUAAAAUUCUAACACCCUAAAAUGUAGAGGAUGAUGAGAGAAACAGAUAGGGGCUAAGGAGACGUGGUUCUUAUGCGGAGUCAAGACAAAUGAGCAGUGAAUUCUAUGCCAUUGGUCAGCUAUGGUCCAGUCCUUGAGGAGCACUCAUGUUGAAGGCAGAAAGCAGCUGAUAGCCAGAUCUAAGAACCCUGCUAUGGUAGCAAACGACUUGUUGGUUCACCCUCCACUAAACGUAUUAACGUCAUACUCUCUUUUCAUGGCCUUCACCAUAACCCGAAGGUGUGGCCAAAUCCUGAGGUAUGAUGUCCCUGAGAGGAAAAGAGGGAAGGGAAGGAGGUGAUUCCUCAGGAACCCCUCCUCCUUCUCUUUCCUCUGGGCUUCCUGUCCCCUCUUGGUUUGGAACAAGGGACUUGGCCCCUACCUGUGCAGACACUGGUUCUCUUUCUGCAGAUAUUUGACCCUUCCCGAUUUGCACCUGAUUCUUCCAGACACAGCCACUCAUUCCUGCCCUUCUCAGGAGGACCAAG